GCAAUGGCUCAUGCCUGUAACCCCAGCAUUUUGGGAGGCCUAGGUGGGCGAAUCACCUGAGGUCGGGAGUUCGAGACCCACCUGGCCAACAUAGAGAAACCCUGUCUCUACUAAAAAUUAAAAAAAAAAAUUAGCCAGGCAUGGUGGCAAGCACCUGUAAUCCCAGCUACUGGGGAGGCUGAGGCAGGAGAAUUGCUUGAACCCAAGAGGCGGAAAUUGCAGUGAGCCAAGAUUGCGCCACUGCACUCCAGCCUGGGCGACAGAGCGAGACUCCACCUUAAAUAAAUAAAUAAAUAAAUUCAUUUUUUAAAAAUCACAAACCAUUCUGAUUUAACCAUUUCUUUGCAAUCUAAUAUUUGAUCUCAAAAAUUAAGCAAAGAUUAACUAAUGUUAGCAAAAAGGCUUUUUUGAGGCUCUGAAACAAUACAGUCCAAGGACAUGCAAAAUAAAGAGCAAUAAAAUGAGCUUAGAUAUCAUUUAGUCCUUUUUUGUUGUUGUUUUAGUUUUAUAAAUGAGGAAAGUUAACUCAAGACCACAGGAGUUUGUAGCCAAUAAAGACCCAAAACUUAGCAGAAGUUCUCAAAGCCCACCAUGUGCAUGCGACAUGCAACCUGGUUUCAUCUCUGCAGUACACAGAGUUCUGGACAGAUGGGGGACUCUGGGUGUGUCUGUGGCCAGGCAAGUGUCCCUAUAGGGGCAGCGAAGGAGGAAAAUGAAUCCUAUGGCUGGCACCUUUUCCUCUUAUAAAUCCUUUU
rnacentral:lncRNA from 10 species